AUUGAACGCUGGCGGCAGGCCUAACACAUGCAAGUCGAACGGUAACAGGAAGCAGCUUGCUGCUUCGCUGACGAGUGGCGGACGGGUGAGUAAUGUCUGGGAAGCUGCCUGAUGGAGGGGGAUAACUACUGGAAACGGUAGCUAAUACCGCAUAAUGUCGCAAGACCAAAGAGGGGGACCUUCGGGCCUCUUGCCAUCGGAUGUGCCCAGAUGGGAUUAGCUUGUUGGUGGGGUAACGGCUCACCAAGGCGACGAUCCCUAGCUGGUCUGAGGGGAUGACCAGCCACACUGGAACUGACACACGGUCCAGACUCCUACGGGAGGCAGCAGUGGGGAAUAUUGCACAAUGGGCGCAAGCCUGAUGCAGCCAUGCCGCGUGUAUGAAGAAGGCCUUCGGGUUGUAAAGUACUUUCAGCGGGGAGGAAGGGAGUAAAGUUAAUACCUUUGCUCAUUGACGUUACCCGCAGAAGAAGCACCGGCUAACUCCGUG
rnacentral:rRNA from 1 species